CGGUGCCUAUUAGUAGCGGACUGGUGAGUACGCGUGGGUGACCUGCACUUGAGGAUGGGGAUAGCCGUUAGAAAUAGCGGGUAAUACCGACAUAAUGUUGUCCUGUUAUGACUGGAUAAAGAAAGGGGCUAUGAGCCCCGCCUUAAGAUGGGCCCGCGUCCCAUUAGCUAGUUGGUAAGGUAAAGGCUUACCAAGGGCGAUGAUGGGUAGCCGGCCUGCAGAGUGGUGAACUGGCCACACUGGGACUGAGAUACGGCCCACGACUCCUACGGGAGGCAGCAGCUAAGAAUAUUCCGCAAUGGACGAAAGUCUGACGGAGCGACGCCGCGUGGAUGAGGAAGGCCGAAGGUUGUCACAAUCCUUUUGCGGAAUGAAGCAAUACGUGUCGGGAGGGAAUGCCCGCCAUGAUGACGUUAGUCCUGUGAAUAACUGCCCCG
rnacentral:rRNA from 1 species